UACAGAGGUCUCAAGCGUUGUUCGGAUUCAUUGGGCGUAAAGGGUGCGUAGGCGGCGCGGUAAGUCGGGUGUGAAAUCUCGGGGCUUAACUCCGAAACUGCAUUCGAUACUACCGUGCUUGAGGACUGGAGAGGAGACUGGAAUUUACGGUGUAGCGGUGAAAUGCGUAGAGAUGUGGAGGAACACCGAUGGCGAAGGCAGCCCCCCUGGGCUAACACUGACGCUCAUGCACGAAAGCGUGGGGAGCAAACAGG
rnacentral:rRNA from 1 species